AACGAACGCUGGCGGCAGGCCUAACACAUGCAAGUCGAACGAAGCCUUCGGGUUUAGCGGCGGACGGGUGAGUAACACGUGGGUAACCUGCCUCAUAGAGGGGAAUAGCCUUUCGAAAGGAAGAUUAAUACCGCAUAAGAUUGUAGCUUCGCAUGAAGCAGCAAUUAAAGGAGUAAUCCGCUACGAGAUGGACCCGCGUCGCAUUAGCUAGUUGGUGAGGUAACGGCUCACCAAGGCGACGAUGCGUAGCCGACCUGAGAGGGUGAUCGGCCACAUUGGGACUGAGACACGGCCCAGACUCCUACGGGAGGCAGCAGUGGGGAAUAUUGCACAAUGGGGGAAACCCUGAUGCAGCAACGCCGCGUGAGUGAUGACGGUCUUCGGAUUGUAAAGCUCUGUCUUCAGGGACGAUAAUGACGGUACCUGAGGAGGAAGCCACGGCUAACUACGUGCCAGCCGCCGCCGUAAGAC
rnacentral:rRNA from 1 species